rnacentral:misc_RNA from 1 species
CGUAACUCUUUUUGCUUGGAGUCCACAUUUCAUUUUCAACAGGCAUCUCUCUCAUGCUCUCUUUUCCCAACUCAGUAUAAAGGACAGGGUAGGAACAUUUUACCCAGAAUGUGAGACUACAAUUUAUUUGUCAACUUUUGGGCAAUCUAUUUUAAACUGACCCAGAAAAUGCUUAGACGACGAUUCUGCGUCUAACAGAAAUCAUGGGGUCAAGUCAAUUCCAGGCUAGUAUCAGCUAAUUUUGGCUCUCAUCUGGCCGUCUCAGUCCUUGAAUAAUUCAAGGAGGCAGGAUCAGAGUGAGCUUCAUACUACCAUUGCUUCUUCCCCUUUUUCUUUCUCUUGUUUCCACUUCCACUACCGUUGCUUGUACUACUACUACUACUCUUGGAGGUACUUCCAGCUGGUGUAGAUGGGCUCUGUGGCGUGCUGCCAUCAAAAUCAUCAAACAUACCCGCUUCUACAGCAUUCUGUAGCCACUCGACAAAUUCUUCCUCGGUCAUGCUCUCUUCCAUAUUUGGCAUUGGCAUCCCACUUUUUUGUCCUGAGCUACUUCUCUUCCAAUUGCUGUUCUUCAAGGUUACACUAGUAUUUACAUGGAAGCUUGGUUUGUGACUGUUGACCGGACAUCUCAUUCCCUGACAUAUAUACCAUUCAGUUGCGUUAUAGAUCCUGCUAUCAGCACAAACAUAGGCAACAGGAUUAUCUACCUUCAGUAGCAUUCCGAAAAAGAAUGGAUGUGAAGGCUGUUCAACCCAUCCAUCUCCGUCUUUUGCUGGAUGAAAAUCUUUGCAUUCCUGGCACCAUCUUGCUUUGGACUUAGUUUUCUUAGUGACAACCCAGACAUGAAAGUUGCCACACUUUUUGCAAGUAAUUCGCCGAGCUUCUCCAAGUGGAUCCUCGCCCGCAGCUUCUGUCUGAGUGAAACCAGAGGUGAAGAAUCCAUAGCCUCUACCCUUUUGAGAAGGACUUUGGAACCGAUGAAGGUAAUUUACCAGCUCUUCCCUCCUCAAUUCAUCAUCGUAUGCUUUUCGUUUAAAAGAAUCAAGUAAAACCUCAUAGGCGUUUUGAAGUUUCAUAAAAGCUUCAGCAGCCUUUUCAUUACCCAUAUUUUUGUCAGGAUGGACCAGCAUUGCCUUUUUCCUAUAUUCUCUCUUGAGAACUGAAGCAUCAGUAUUCUGAAAUCGCAUUAGGCCCAGUGCUGAAUAGUGAUUUGUACUGUUUAAUAAUCUGAGAACUUCAUCUUCGGAAGUCAUCUCAACAUCAGAUCCACUAGUUGAAGGGAUGCCAGUGUCACGAUCAACAGGAUGAACAUACCCAUCAUCAGUAGAUGGAGGCACUGAUCCACGCGAACAGAAGCUAGGUUCACCUUGUACUCCAGUUGUUUGAUCAGGAAAGGUGUGGGCCCUUCUUUGCUCAUUUACAUUGUUUCUUAAGAAGAAUAUGAGAAUAUCACUCGAAAUAAAUGACAAAUUCAAUAUGAAGAUUAAACCUAUCCAUCCAACAUAUGUCCAUGCGCAAAAUACAGAAUACGAAGUUAUGACAAACACUGCAAGCCGUUCAUGUUUCAACCUAUAAAGAGCUCCUCCACUCAAGACCAGAAGAACUGCUGCCCAAAAUCUUCCAUAG